rnacentral:rRNA from 1 species
AGAAGCAGCCAUCAUUUAAAGAAAGCGUAAUAGCUCACUGGUCGAGUCGGCCUGCGCGGAAGAUGUAACGGGGCUAAACCAUGCACCGAAGCUGCGGCAGCGAACGUAUCACCCAAGACAACUUUACGGAGUUGACGAUUGACGGAGCGAAGCGACGUCAAAGCGUUCAUUAAAGUCGAGUUGGCUUAGGGAUACGUUCGUUGGGUAGGGGAGCGUUCUGUAAGCCGUUGAAGGUGGCCUGUGAGGGUUGCUGGAGGUAUCAGAAGUGCGAAUGCUGACAUAAGUAACGAUAAAGCGGGUGAAAAGCCCGCUCGCCGGAAGACCAAGGGUUCCUGUCCAACGUUAAUCGGG